AGUGAACGCUGGAGGCGUGCCUAAUAAAUGCAAGUCGACCGAAAUGGCGCAAGGGUGAGUAAUAUAUAUGUAAUCUGCCCUACACAGAUGAACACCAGUUGGAAACGACUGCUAAUACCUCAUAGUGUAGGGUGAGACUAUAUCGUAUCAUCUAGUUGGUAAGGUAAUGGCUUACCAAGGCUAUGACGCGUAACUGGUCUGAGAGGAUGCUCAGUCAAAUUCGAAUUGUGACACGGUCCACACUUCUACGGGAGGGAGCAGUCAGGAAUCCUGUGCAAUCGCGGAACACCUGACGCAGCAACGCUGCGUGGAGUAUGACAAUUUGCGGAGCGUAAACUCCUUGUAUCAGCAAAGCGGUACCUGAGGAUUAUGCACCGGCUACCCCCGUGCCAGCCGCCGCGGUACUAC
rnacentral:rRNA from 1 species